UACAGAGGUCCCAAGCGUUGUUCGGAUUCACUGGGCGUAAAGGGUGCGUAGGUGGUGAGGCAAGUCGGAUGUGAAAUCUCCGGGCUCAACCGUGGAACUGCGCCCUAAACUACCAAGCUUGAGGGAGCUAGAGGUAAGCGGAACUGAUGGUGGAGCGGUGAAAUGCGUUGAUAUCACCAGGAACACCGGAGGCGAAGGCGGCUUACUGGGGCUUUUCUGACGCUGAGGGACGAAAGCUAGGGUAGCGAACGGG
rnacentral:rRNA from 1 species